AGUAACUAUGAUGUUUAGAUGUGGAAGUGGUAUGUGGAACGUGUGCAGAGAGUCUUGUUGUGGAGGAACAGUAACUAUGAUGUUUAGAUGUGGAAGUGGUGUGUGGAACGUGUGCAGAGAGUCUAGUUGUGGGG